rnacentral:rRNA from 1 species
CCUACGGGCCGCAGCAGUAGGGAAUCUUCGGCAAUGGACGAAAGUCUGACCGAGCAACGCCGCGUGAGUGAAGAAGGUUUUCGGAUCGUAAAACUCUGUUGUUAGAGAAGAACAAGUAUGAGAGUAACUGCUCUUACCUUGACGGUAUCUAACCAGAAAGCCACGGCUAACUACGUGCCAGCAGCCGCGGUAAUACGUAGGUGGCAAGCGUUGUCCGGAAUUAUUGGGCGUAAAGCGCGCGCAGGCGGUUCCUUAAGUCUGAUGUGAAAGCCCACGGCUCAACCGUGGAGGGUCAUUGGAAACUGGGAGGCUUGAGUGCAGAAGAGAAGAGCGGAAUUCCACGUGUAGCGGUGAAAUGCGUAGAGAUGUGGAGGAACACCAGUGGCGAAGGCGGCUCUUUGGUCUGUAACUGACGCUGAGGCGCGAAAGCGUGGGGAGCGAACAGGAUUAGAUACCCGCGUAGUC